rnacentral:rRNA from 1 species
UACGAAGGGUGCAAGCGUUACUCGGAAUUACUGGGCGUAAAGCGUGCGUAGGUGGUGCGUUAAGUCUGUCGUGAAAGCCCCGGGCUCAACCUGGGAAUGGCGAUGGAUACUGGCGCGCUAGAGUGCGGCAGAGGAGACUGGAAUUCCCGGUGUAGCAGUGAAAUGCGUAGAUAUCGGGAGGAAUACCGAUGGCGAAGGCAGGUCUCUGGGCUGACACUGACGCUCAUGCACGAAAGCGUGGGGAGCAAACAGG